CUUGUAUUUUAACUUUUUAUUCUUUGCUUUUGAGAAUCGGAAGCUUAAUCAAUAUUAUAAAAUCAAAGACAUUUUCUUUUAGUUGUUUAAGUAUGGAAUUAUGGAAGUCAAUUUUUUCCACACUACUUAGAGAAAUAUUGCAGAAUUACAAGUCAAGCGGAAAAGAUCCGAACACUUUAACAUUAAGCAUACUUAAGCGAAUGCUUCGAGAUGAAUAUGGCUUAUACUUUGUAAAAAAAUCGGCUCAAUAUGCGUUUAUGAAAAAGUUUAUUAUUAAUGAAACUUCAAAACUU